ensembl:misc_RNA Metazoa_SRP Metazoan signal recognition particle RNA
GCCAGGUGUGGUGGUGCACACCUGUAAUCCCAGCUACUUGGGAGGCUGAGGCAGGAGAAUUGCUUGAACCCAGGAAGUGGAGGUUGCAGUGAGCUGAGAUCACUCACACCACAGCACUCCAGCCUGGGUGAUGGAGCGAGUCUCUGUCUCAA